CCAUCCUCAUCCACUAGUGAUGCCUGCUGUUGAGCCCACCCAUCCUCAUCCACUAGUGAUGCCUGCUGUUGAACCCACCCAUCCUCAUCCACUAGUGAUGCCUGCUGUUGAGCCCAUUAAUGCACAUUGAGAGCCAUGGUAGACUAGAUGGUGCUGGGAGCUGAGACAGCAAAAAUUAAGAAGAUUCAGUCCUGAAUCUUCUAUCAGCUCUUAGUGAUAACAUUUUCAGCACACAGUGAUGACGAAGGUCAUUCAGAGGCUGUGUGAGAGCACACUGACCAUCGGCCGUAGCUACAGACCACACGAGUAACUAAGCCCCACAUCUAUUUUUCCUGUAACAAACACCUUGUCCCUUUCUUCUUAAUCCCGUUGGAAACCAUUUCGAAUGGCCUGUGAAACUCCACCACACUGCUGGAGGGGAGGCAACUAAUCAGUCGGGACCAGAAUUGGAGAUGGGAAAGGACCAACAAUUGAACUGGAUUUGAAUCCAUCAAUGUCUGCCUUAUGACUGAUGCUGCCAGUGUUUUCCUAUUAGGACAGGCUCAAACUGAUAAAGGGACAGACCAGUCCUAUCAAAUUAUACUGAUAAAAAAUAAUUCACAUGGUAAAAUUAUGACGGUGGCAAUCAUAAGUGCCUCCCAAGUAGCUGCAAUGUGGAUGGACUUCCAGGUAACUCUGGCUACAAUGUAUCAGGAGGUUGACUUCCAGGUAGAGAACUUCAAAAAUGUAUUACUGUGUCAGAGAAGUCCAAUUAACGGCUGAAAGAUUCAUUUGUAAACAGAAAAAUCUGCAUUUGGGCUACCAAGACGGCUCAGCACAAGAAGAUCCCUGCUGCUGAAUCUGACAGAGAAGUUCUUGAGUUUGGUCCCCAAGUCCCAUAUGGUGGCAAAAAGAGAAUAGGCUCCUGCAAUUGUCCUCUGACCUCCAUACUUGCACCAUGGCAUGUGCUCUCACGGGUGACACACAUCACACACACACACACACACACACACACCAAAUAGAAUGAAAACCUUAAAAAAUAAAUAAAUAAAACUUCCG
rnacentral:lncRNA from 1 species